GAUGAACGCUGGCGGCGUGCCUAACACAUGCAAGUCGAACGGAGUCCAGCCUUUAAGACCUUCGGGUCAAAGAGGAGAAGACUGAGUGGCGGACGGGUGAGUAACACGUGGGCAACCUGGCUCAUAGAGGGGGAUAACAGAGAGAAAUUUCUGCUAAUACCGCAUAAGCACACACUGCCGCAUGGCAGAGGGUGAAAAGAGAAUCGCUAUGAGAUGGACCCGCGUCUGAUUAGCCAGUUGGCAGGGUAAGAGCCUACCAAAGCGACGAUCAGUAGCCGAUCUGAGAGGAUGAACGGCCACAUUGGGACUGAGACACGGCCCAAACUCCUACGGGAGGCAGCAGUGGGGGAUAUUGCACAAUGGGGGGAACCCUGAUGCAGCGACGCCGCGUGAGUGAAGAAGUAUUUCGGUAUGUAAAGCUCUAUCAGCAGGGAAGAUAAUGACAGUACCUGAAGAAGAAGCCCCGGCUAACUACGUG
rnacentral:rRNA from 1 species